rnacentral:rRNA from 1 species
UGGGGAAUAUUGGACAAUGGGCGGAAGCCUGAUCCAGCCAUGCCGCGUGUGUGAAGAAGGCCUUUUGGUUGUAAAGCACUUUAAGCGAGGAGGAGGCUACUAGUACUAAUACUACUGGAUAGUGGACGUUACUCGCAGAAUAAGCACCGGCUAACUCUGUGCCAGCAGCCGCGGUAAUACAGAGGGUGCGAGCGUUAAUCGGAUUUACUGGGCGUAAAGCGUGCGUAGGCGGCUGAUUAAGUCGGAUGUGAAAUCCCUGAGCUUAACUUAGGAAUUGCAUUCGAUACUGGUCAGCUAGAGUAUGGGAGAGGAUGGUAGAAUUCCAGGUGUAGCGGUGAAAUGCGUAGAGAUCUGGAGGAAUACCGAUGGCGAAGGCAGCCAUCUGGCCUAAUACUGACGCUGAGGUACGAAAGCAUGGGGAGCAAACAGG